GAGUUUGAUCGUGGCUCAGGAUGAACGCUGGCGGCGUGCCUAACACAUGCAAGUCGAGCGAUUUACUUCGGUAAAGAGCGGCGGACGGGUGAGUAACGCGUGGGUAACCUGCCCUAUACACACGGAUAACAUACCGAAAGGUAUGCUAAUACGAGAUAACAUAAGAAAUUCGCAUGGAUUUCUUAUCAAAGCUUUUGCGGUAUAGGAUGAGCCCGCGUCUGAUUAGCUAGUUGGUAAGGUAACGGCUUACCAAGGCGACGAUCAGUAGCCGACCUGAGAGGGUGAUCGGCCACAUUGGAACUGAGACACGGUCCAAACUCCUACGGGAGGCAGCAGUGGGGAAUAUUGCACAAUGGGCGAAAGCCUGAUGCAGCAACGCCGCGUGAGCGAUGAAGGCCUU
rnacentral:rRNA from 1 species